GGAGGGUUGGCCGAGUGGACCAAGGCAGCGGUUUGCUAAACCGUGGCGAUGUAAAAGUCGCCCGUGGGUUCGAAUCCCACACCCUCCGCCA
rnacentral:tRNA from 1 species